rnacentral:rRNA from 1 species
GACGAACGCUGGCGGCGUGCUUAACACAUGCAAGUCGAACGGAAAGGCCCUGCUUUUGUGGGGUGCUCGAGUGGCGAACGGGUGAGUAACACGUGAGUAUCCUGCCCUUGACUUUGGGAUAACUUCAGGAAACUGGGGCUAAUACCGGAUAGGAGCUCCUGCUGCAUGGUGGUGGUUGGAAAGUUUCGGCGGUUGGGGAUGGACUCGCGGCUUAUCAGCUUGUUGGUGGGGUAGUGGCUUACCAAGGCUUUGACGGGUAGCCGGCCUGGGAGGGUGACCGGCCACAUUGGGACUGAGAUACGGCCCAGACUCCUACGGGAGGCAGCAGUGGGAAAUAUUGCACAAUGGGCGGAAGCCUGAUGCAGCAACGCCGCGUGCGGGAUGACGGCCUUCGGGUUGUAAACCGCUUUCGCCUGUGACGAAGCGUGAGUGACGGUAAUGGGUAAAAAAGCACCGGCUAACUACGUG